rnacentral:lncRNA from 1 species
GAGUUCCCCAAGCUUUCGUACACUGAAGAAAGAACCAGAGCUUCAAAAUUUUAAACUUAGUAAUAUUCCACCUCACUCCCCAAUUCAACUUCAAAGAAACUCGUAGAAUUUUAUGGUGUCCUGUGUAAACUGAAAAAUCACAUUGCUACAAGAGUCUUUGCUUUUUUGCUUAUGGGCCAGAUGGAGUACUUUUGUCUUCCGAUCUGUUUCAGGGCUGACUGUGUGGAUGCAUUCUUUUUGUUUUGGUUCUUUUGUCAGAUGACAGUGUACUUAGAAAUUUGCAGUGAUGUCAGACAUUUGUAAGAGAGAGACCGUAGCUGACUCAUUCUUGUGUUCACAGUGUUAGCAUUGAGGCUUACGUUCAGUGAAUGGAUGCAUUUACUCCUUGAACACAGUGU